GGGUCUCGUCCUAGCCUUCGGGUCUCGGUCGAAGCCUUAAGGUCUCGGUCGAAGCCUUCGGGUCUCGGUCGUAGCCUUAAGAUCUCGGACUUGCUGGGGGUCUCGGUCUUGCUGAGGGUCUCGGUCUAGUCUUCGGGUCUUGCUGAGGGGGGGUAUUACAUAAACUUGUGUUUAAGGCAUUCCACAAAGAACGAGUAGAGA